GGGAGGACCGAGCGUCCAUCCGGGGCUCAGGACGCCCCCUGGGGGUCUCCAGGGUCCUAGAACGGACCCGGAGCCGGUGUGCGUGGGAGAACUCUAGGGGAGGAUAGCCCCCGACGCCCCUGGAUCCCGACCUCCAGCUUCAGUCCUGCUGGCUGGGCUUAGGAAAGAGCCUUGCGGGGCAGAACCGGUCCUAGUGCCCCCUCCUCCGGAAACCUGCCCGGGCGGUCAGGCUCUCCUCUGGUCCCCAAAGAGACGCCGGCCCGGAGACAGCCCCUGCCCCGGCUGGUGCCCAACUCCGGGGAGGGGGGACAUGCCCAGCCGCUGCUUGGGGGGGCGGGCAGCCCGAGCCGGCUUCUCCUCUCCUCCCCGGCUCUGCGUCCGGCGGCCUCUCUUCCCCGGAGGCGGGGAAUGGCUCCUGUCCUCCCGGGCGUCCGGGCCCGCCAGAAGUCAGUGACUUUGAAGGAUGUGACUGUGGACUUCACCUGGGAUGAGUGGGUACAUCUGAACCUAUCUCAGAAAGAGUUGUACAGGGAGGUGAUGCUGGAGAACUAUAAGAACUUUGUAUUUUUGGAAUUUGCAGUUUCCAAACCAGAUAUGAUCCACCAAUUGGAAAGAAAAGAAGCAUCUUGGAUGCCAGAGGCAGAUAUUCCAAAAAGCAGCUGUCCAGAAAUCCAUGACAUUCAAUGAUGUGGCUGUGGAAUUCACUCUGGAGGAGUGGAUACAUUUGAACCCUUCUAAAAAAAAAUUGUACAGGAAUGUGAUGCUGGAGAACUAUAGAAACUUGAUCUCUUUGGGAUGUGCAAUUUCUAAACCAGAUGUGAUCUACCAAAUGGAAAGAAAGGAAGCAUUUUGGAUGCCAGAGACAGAUAUCCCAAGAAACAGCUCUCCAGAGAGCAAAGAAUUUACUGGAGAAAAUUAUAUGAAUGUAAUGAAUUUGGGGAAGCUUUCAAACUGAAAACAUUUGUUCAGCAUCAGAGAAUUUAUACUGAAGAGACUCCUUAUAAAUGUAAAGAAUGUGGGAAAGGCUUCCAUUACAUAUUACAGUUUGUAGAACAUCAAAGAAUUCACACUAGAGAAAAAUCUUAUAAAUGUAGUGAAUGUGGAAAGGCCUUCAAACAGAGGAUACAGCUUACUCAUCACCAGAGAAUUCAUACUGGAGAGAAGCCUUAUAAAUAUGAUGAAUGUGGGAAGGCUUUCAGAGUAGAAACACAGUUUAUUCAACAUCAGAAAAUACAUACUGGAGAGAAGCGUUAUGAAUGUAAAGAAUGUGGGAAAGGUUUCUGUUGGAAUUCAGAUUUCAUGAGACAUCAGAGUAUUCAUAUUGGUGAGAAACCUUAUGAAUGUAAUGAAUGUGGGAAGGCCUUCAGACUAAAAGCACAUCUUACUCGGCAUCAGAGAAUUCAUACUGGAGAAAAACCUUAUAAAUGUGACGAAUGUGGGAAAGCCUUCAGUAGCAAUUGAUCACUUAAUAAACAUAAGAAAAUUCAUGGAAACAUGUCUUACAAAUGUAAGGAGUACAGAAAGGUCUUCCACUACAAUUCAGAUUGUAACCAACAGAAAAUUCAUAGUGGACAGAAACCUUACAAAUGUAAUGAAUGUGGGAAGGUCUUCCGCCUUACCAUACAACUUACUCAACAUAAAAGAAUUCAUACUGGAGAGAAACCUUAUGAAUGUAAUGAAUGUGGGAACGCAUUCAGACAAAGAAUACAGCUUACCGUGCAUCAAAGAAUUCAUAUUGGAGAGAAGCCUUAUAAAUGUGAUGAAUGUGGGAAGACCUUCAGAAUAAGAGUACAUACUAGAGAGAAGCCUUAUGAAUGUACUUAUUGUGGGAAGGCUUUUAGACUGAGACAUGAGCUUACUAAGCAUCAGAGAAUUCAUACGGAAGAAAAACCAUUUAUAUGUAAUGAAUGUGGAAAAAGCUUUUCUUGUAAUUCAGAUUUUCUGAGACAUCAGAAUAUUCAUACUGGAGAAAAACCUUAUAAAUAUGAUGAAUGUGGGAAGGCCUUCAGACAGAAGUCAGAGCUUCCUUGGGAUCAGAAUAUAUAUAUAUUGGAGAGAAGCCUUAUGAAUGUAAUGAAUGUGAGAAGGCUUUCAGACUGAGGACACAGCUAACUCAGAAUUCAUUCUGGGGGAAAAAUUGAAUAUAAUAUGUGUUGAAAGAUCUGCAUGAAUUAAAAAGUUACUCUGCAUUAGAGGAUUCAUAUGAGAGCAAAGUUAAGAUUGUAAUAAAUAUGGAAAGGCCUUCAAAAGUAAGACCCAACUUACUGUGUAUCAGAGAAUUCCUACUGGCGGAAUUCCUUAAGUAUAAGUUGGGUGGGAAUGCCUUCCACUACAACUCAGGACAUAUUCAAUGCAAACAAUUCUUACUAGAAAGACAACUUUUGAAUGCAGUGUGUUUGAGAAAGCCUGCCACCUGAACUCAGAACUUAGUUGACAUUUGGGAGUUCUUACUGCUGAGAAAUGUUAUGAAAAUGGUAAUAUCUUCUGUAGGACCAUAGAACUUGCUUGACAUCAGAGAAUUUUUAUUCAAGGAAAACCUUAUGAAAGCAAUCAAUGUGGGAACAUCUUCAAACUCUGGCUAUAUCUUACUAUGCAUCAGAGAAAUCAUACUAGAGAGAACUAUUAUUAUGUAUUUAAUGAAUAUGGCAAGGUUUUCAAACUGAAACACAGGACAAAGCCAGAAUGAUGGAGUGAAGUCAGCAUUUUUUGCCCGGUUCUCCCAACACAUCCCCUUUACCACAAUUUUUAAAAGUGCAUCAAACUGAAUUCUGAGUGAGAAAGUGAAGGAAAAGUCACAGUGACUCAUUUCUAAAGGGUAUUUAAGAAGUCAGAGAGAUACAGAUAGGUGGGAAUUGGCCAGAUUGCAGGGCAUAGGAUGUAAACCCACCAGUGCUGAGCAGUUUAGUGCCCAAGAAAGGUUAAGAAAACUAAACAGUUGAUUAGAAAGAUAUUUCAGGGGAUCCCUGUGCUAGCACUAGGUACAGAAUCAGAUGUCAUUUGGCAGCUCUAUCACUCUGUGUGUGGGUGUGGGUGUGUAAAAUAACCAGGGCAGUGAGGAACAGUUAUGGUGGCAAGGGAGCAGAUAACCUAAAUCUUAUUCUGGUUAUGGUCCCAACUACUAGCUUGUAGACCCAGAGGACAAUGAUCUGACUUCUCCUUGGAUCAUACAAUUUUAGAAACAACAGAAACUUACAAAUCCCUAUACUUAAGCUCAGAAAAACAGCAGACAUAAAAUCAGAAGACAAGGAUAAGUGCCUCCAGAGGUGAUCAGAACCUAAUGCUAACAAAAAUUCCAAACUCAAAGAAAUAGGGUAGAAAAAUGAGAAAACUACACAAAGUAAGAGAAAAAGAAAGUAAAACAACAACCUGACAAUAAAAAGCUUGUAUGGGCACAGGGAAGCUCAAGGCAAACUCGGAGGUAAUGAUUCACAAAUCUCUACAAUGAAAGCCUCAAAGAAAAAUGCAGAUUUGAUAGAAACCCACAAAGAAUAACUUGACAAGCUCAAGAGAAAAAAAAAACUCAAUAGAGGAAAAUUUAAAUCAAGUAAGAGUGGUAAGUAAAGUUUAGGAGAAGAAAGAACAGCAAUUAUGACACAAGAAUGAAGAAAUUGGUAAGAGACAAAAAAAUACUUUAAAAAAGUCUUACAAAUCAAAUUUUGCCAAUUGGUUAAAAGAGGUACAAUGAUCUCCCAGAAGACAUUAACUUCCAAAAAUUAGAAUUGAUGAAGUGAAAAGUAAUGAUUCAUGAGACAUGAGUAAACAGUAAAAUGAGAUCCAAAGAAUGAAAAUUUCAAAACGUCUUAUUAAAAAAAAAAAACUGACCUGGAAAAUAGGCCAAGGAAAGAUAACUUAGUAAUUGUUGAACUACCUAAAAUCCUUGAGGGGAAAAUAGAGAAGAUAUAUUCCAACAUUAUAAAGGGAAAAUGUUCAGAUAUAUUGGAAUCAGAGGGCAAAGUAGAAGUGGAAGGAUUCCACUGGUUUUUUCCUGAUUGAGAUCCCAAAAUAAAAAUUAGUAAUGAUAGUCAAAAUUCAGAGCUUCCAGAUCAAAGAGAAAAUACAGAAAAACAUAAUUCAAAUAACAUGGAAUCAUAGGUAAAACCACAGUCUAGUAUCAGAAGCUUUGGAGUAUGAUAUUCCAGAUAGCAAAGGAACUUGAUUAUAACUGAGAAUGAAAUACCAGCAAAAUUGUGUAUAAUAUGGGGGGAAGUGGAUAUUUAAUGAAAUAGAGGGUUUCUAAGCAUUUCAGAUGAAAAGACAAUUGUCUGAAUAUAAAAUGUAGCACUUAACCACAAGACAGCAUAAAAAGGUAAGCAUGAGGGAGAAAUUAAAAAUUAAAAUGAAGCUAAAUUGUUUUUAUUCUUAAAUAUAUUCCUUAGAAUCCCUGAGAACUUUUUCAUCCUUAGGGUAAUUAGGAAUCUAUUUAGAAAGCAGGCAUACUUAUGAGUCCAGUGUAUUGGGAUAAUCUCAAAAAAAAAUGGAUGUUUCAGAAAAGGAUGCUUUAGAAGAAUGGGAAAAAUCAUCUCAUAAAAGAUAAGCAAGGAUGAUUUUUUACAGUGUUAUUGGAAAAAAGUUAUAACAGGCAACGCAUGAACCUCAGUUGCAUCUUAACUAAUUCAGAAAGGAAAAAAAUGUGCACCUGUACACACAGUAUGCACACACAUACUUGCACAAAUUGGGUAUAGAAAUCAUCUUGCUCAAGAAAGUAGGCUGAGAAGGGGCUAAGAGAAUGAGGGAAGGUGUGAUAAGAGGUAGGGUAGAUUAAAAAAGAUACUAGUUAACAUCAGAAUACUCUAAAAGGGAACAGGAUAAACAAAAGGAGAAACAGAAGAGAAUAUUAUGAAUUGCUGUACACAGCAGUCAUAAGUAAAUGCAAAUGGAAUGAACAGCAAUAUUGUAAAAAAUAACAACUUAGCCACUCAUUACACAAUAAUCCACCACAACUCCAAAGGACUUGUGAUGAA